UUAGACUAGCAAGGCCGCUCCCUUCCUUGUCCUUAGGUUAAAGGGAUGAGACUCUGCAUGAGCUUUUCCUUAUUUAUCUCUACUUGAUAUCAUUUCUGAGAUUACCAACCUUCUCCAGUGCUCCAUCUAGAACACACAAGAGCCCAAAAGUGAACUCAUAUAACAACCUAUUUGCCAUUCCUUGAGUCCUGAAGUUCCUAGCCAGAGUGAAUUCUCUGUACCUUCUAGAGUCUUCUUAUAUUGGCAUUUAAAAUUUAUUAUGUCCAAGAUUAUAAAUAAUGCUUAGCAAAAGGGGAAGGGAGGGGUCUUGGGGAUAGGAAAGACAGUGGAAAGAGAUGGACAUCAUUACCCUAAGUACAUGUAUGAAGACAAGAAUGGUGUGACUCUACUUUGUAUAUAGGGAUAUGAAAAAUAUAUUCUCUAUAUGUGUCAUAUGAAUUGUAAUGUAUUCUGCUGUCAUAUAUAACAAAUCAAUAUUUUUUAAAAAACUCCAACAUACAAAACCUGAAAAAAAGGAAUAGGUGACAAUGAUUUUUACUCAUCUUGUCCAGAUUAGGAAGGCAAUAUUUCCCUAUUAUUUUCUACAAAUUUACUUCCUUUGAACUUUUUUCAAGGAGUUUUUAUUUCUUUUGUAAUAAAAAGGAAAAUUAAAAAGAAGUCAGAAGGGACACAAUAAAUACUGCGUAAUGUCCUAUAUAAUAAGAAACUUUUUUAGUUUGUCCUCACUAUCUACCUGUUCAGCAUUUAUAUAUUGACACAUUUUUUAGUAGAAUCACUAUAAAGCAGACACAUUUGUUGAUGGUUUAUAUGCACCUUCAGUGAGAUGAAAAGAAGAGCUUAAAAUGUAACUCUCAUUUUCUAUGAUUAAGAUUUCUGUGAGCAAUCAUUUGUUACCAGAAAUCAUGAAAUCUUGAUGCUAUCUAGAGUGAUGUUUGUGCUGGCUUUAAUUUUAUCCUGAAUUUUGAUUUGUUCUCUCAUAAAUGAAAUGAUAUUUUUCCAGAUUCCACAUGAAAAUGUGUGCCUCCUCCACCUAUUGACAAUGGAGACCUCACUUCAUUCCCAUUACCAGUAUAUCCUACGGGCCCAUCAGUUGAAUAUCAGUGCCAAUCCUUAUAUCAACUUGAGGGUAGCAAGACAGUAAUAUGUAGAAAUGGAAAGUGGUCAAACCCGCCAAAAUGUUUACGUAAGUACUUCAGUAAUCUCAUGGGACCUGGGAAAAUCAGCACCUUGAGUAUGAUACUUUUCUAUGUAAAAUAGCAAUAAUUCACAUAUUAAAAAAUAAAUAUUCUGUGGAAUGCUUCUCUAACAAAUUUCAUGUGUGAGGAAAUAAAGAUUAAUAAGUUAAUUUUAUUUUAAAAUAGUUAAUAAAUACAAUUAUAUAUAUAUUUAAAUUUUUUAUUAGCAUGUAAUAGUUGCCCUUAUUAAUGGGAGUCAGUGUGAUAUUUGUAUAUAUGCAUACACUCAGCAUGAUCAUAUCCAACCUCUAUUUACCCACCCUAUAUCCCUUCUCAACCUCUAUUGGUCACUAUUCUACAUUCAGGUCACCCUUUUUAAUAUUCCAGAUAUGAGAGAGAAUAUAUGGGUCUUAUCUUUCUGUGUCUGGCCUAUUUUGCUUAACAUAAUGUCCUCCAGUUCUAUCCAUUUUGCUGUAAAUGUCAAGAGCCAAUUCUUCUUUGUAGCAGAAUAAUAUUCCCUUGUGUAAAUAUACUACAUUGUCUUUAUCUCCUCAUCUAUUGAUAACUAUAUGUUCUCAUUCAAUAUAUUAGCUACUGUGAAUAACACUGCAUGGGCAUGCAGAUAUCCCUUUGGUAUGCUGAUUUCUUUUCCUGUGGAUAUGUACCCAGAAGGAGGAUAGCUGGGUCAUAGAGCAUAUCUAAUUUAAGUUUUUAGAGAAAACUUCUGCUCUCUAUAAUGAUCCUACCAAUUUAAAUUCCCACCAAGAGAGUGUAAGUGUUCUUUUUCUCUCACAUCGUCACAAACAUUUAUUAAUUUUAGGGUUUAUUGUUAAUAAUAGACCUUCUAACUGGAGUGAUAUGGUAUCUCAUUGUAGUUUUCAUCUUGAUUUCCCUGAUGGCUAAUGAUAUUGAGUGGGUUUUUUUUUUCAUGUAUUUUUGACUGUUUGUACUUCUUUGAGAUAUGUCUGUUCACAAAUCAUUUGUCCAAUGUUUAAUUGGAUUACUUGUUUUUAGUUUUUUUGAGGUCAUUAUACAUUCUAGGUAUUAACCCUUUGUGAGACGCAUAGCUGGCAAGUCUUUUUCCCAUUCCAGGGCUCGUCUCAUUCUGUUGACUGUUUCUUUAGCUGUGCAGAAGGUUUUUCAAUUUAAUAUAUCAACUUUGUCAAUUUUUGCUUUUGUUUCUUGUGCUUUUGUGGUUCUUUCCAGAAAAUUGUUGCUUGAACCAGUUUCUUAUUUCUCCAUAUUUUCUCCUAGUAGUUUUAGAGUUUUCAGGUUUUACAUUUAAGCCUGUGUGCAUUUUGAAUUUAAUUUUGUACAUGGAAAGAGGAAUCAAGAUUCAAUCAUCUGUAUGUGGAUAUCCAUUUUUAGCAUCAUUUAUUGAAGAGGUGGUCCUUUACCAAAUGUUUUCCUUUUUGGAAACUUUUUUGGAAACUUUGUUAAGAAUCAGCAGAUAUAGAUGCAUGGAUAUAUCUAUAUCUAUCUAUCUAUAAAUACACAUAUAUAUGUAUACACACACAUACAGAGAAAGAGAGAGAGAGAGAGAGAGAGAGAGAGAAGGAGAGUGUGUCUCUAUUCUGUAGCAUUGGUCAUUGUAUCUAUUCUUAUACAAAUACUAUGCUGUUUUGGUUGCUAUGGUACUGUAGUAUGUCUUGAAAUAAGUUAUUGUGAUGCUUACAGCCUUUGUGAAUUUAUUUUUUUCUCAAGAUUUCAUUAGCUCUUCAGGGUCUUUCGUGCUUCCAUAUGAAUUUUAGAAUUUUCUUCUCUAGUUCUGUGAGGAAUAUCUUUCAUAUUUUAAUGGGAAUGGCUUUUAAUCUGUAAAUUGCUUAAGGUAUUAUUGCUGAAGGAAUAUAUGCUUAAGGUAUUAUUACCAGCACUAAUUGUUCCGAUCCAUGAGCAUGGAAAGUUUCUUAUUUAUUUUGUAUCUUCUUCAAUUUCCUUAAUCAGUGUGUGGUAGAUGUCUUCUGUUCUUUGCUGUUUUGUUUGCUGUUGUAAAGAUUAGUGAAUGAGAUUGUUUUUAUUAUUUGGUUCUCAGCACAUUCAUUAUUGUUGUAUAAAAAUCUCACUGAUUUUUGUAUAUUGAUUUGUAUCUUGCUACCUUAAUGACUUUAUCCAUUCUAAUAGUCUUUUGGUGGAAUCUUUGGGAUAUAUAUAUAUAUAUAUAUAUAUAUAUAUAUAUAUUUAAACAUAUCAUCUGCAGACACAAAUAAUUUGACUUCUCUCCUUUCAAUUUGUAUGCCCUUUAUUUCUCUUAUUUUGCUAUUCUGACUAAAAUUUCUGGUACUUUACUGAAUAAGAGCAGGGAGAAUAGAUACCCUUGUUCCUGAUAUUAGAGGAAAUGUUUUCAACUUUUCUCAUUUCCAGUAUAUUGCCUAUGGCUAUGUCUUGUAUGGUCUUUAUGAUGCUGAGGUAUGAUCUUCCCAAACCUUAUUUGCUCAGGACUUUUAUCAGGAAGUGAUAUUGAAAUUAUUCAAAUGCAUUUUCUAUAUCUAUUAAUCACAUGAUUUUUAUCCUUCAUUCUGUUAAUGGGAUGAAUUAUGUUUAUUGAUCUGAAUAUGUUGAACCAUCCUUGCAUCUCUGGGAUGGAACCAAUUUGAUUAUGGUAAAUAAUUUUUAUGAUUCCCUGUUGAAUCACAUUCAGAUUUACUCAUAUUUUAUUGAGAAAUUUUACAUCUAUGUCCAUCAGGUUAUUAGUCUACAGUUUCUUUUAUCUUGUGUUCUUGUUGCUAUGGUACCAGAGUAAUGCUAGCCUCAAGGAAUGGGCUGGGAAUGAUUCUCUCUCUUUCAAAUCUUCACAACAAAUUUAAAAGAAAUUGAAUUAGUUCUUCUUUAAAGAUUUCAAAAAAUUAAUCAGUAAAGGCAUCUAGUCAUGGGCUUUCCUCAACUUUUUAUUACUGAUUCAAUCUAUUACUCAUUAUUGAUCUCUUCUGGUUUAUAUGUUUUCAUGGUUUAAUUUUGGCAGAAUCUAUGUGUCUAAAAAUUUAUAAAUUCCUUCUAGGUUCUCUAAUUUGUUGGCAUACAUUUUCUCAUAAUAAUCCCUAAUGACUCUUUGUAUUUCUGAGGUAUUGGUUGUAAUGUCUUUUUUUUUUCCAUCUCUUAUUUUGUUUGAGUCAUCUCUUUUUCUUGGUUAGUCUUAUUAAAGGUAUGUUCAUUGUUCUUACCUUUUAUGAUAACCAACUUUUUGUUUCUGAAAGAACGAACAAGGCUUGUCCUCAGAGAAAAUGCCCAUUUAUUGAGGAACAGCUCUGCAUAUUUAUAGAGCCGGGGGUGGUUUGACAAUUAUGACAGUUUAAAGGUUGAAGGGUUUGACAGUUGGCAUGAGGUGCUUUCUGAUUGGUGGGUAAGGAUCACGUGGGUCAGCAGGGCUAGUCUGAUUGGUGGGUAAGGAUCAUGUGAGCCAGCAGGCUAGUCUGAUUGGUGGGUAAGGAUCAUGUGAGCCAGCAGGCUAGUCUGAUUGGUGGGUAAGGAUCAUGUGAGCCAGCAGGGCUAGUCUGAUUGGUGGGUAAGGAUCAUGUGAGCCAGCAGGGCUAGUCUAAUUGGUGGGUAAGGAUCAUGUGAGCCAGCAGGGCUAAGUCUGAUUGGUGGGUAAGGAUCAUGUGAGCCAGCACAGCUCACCAUUGUACGGCUCACCAUUGUACGGCUCUUCUCGGGAUGGGGAAGUUAGUCUUUUGAGCCGGGGCGACUCCCAACAGUUUCAUUAGUCUUUUAUACUGCUUAUGUAUGUGACACCCUCUCUAUCUUAUACAUUAUAUAACUGAAAAUUUGUAGCAUUUGACCAAUAUUUCUUUUCUUUCUUUUUUUUUUUUUGUGAGGCUGGAGAUGGAACACAGGGCUUGUGCAUGUAAGGCAAGAACUAUACCAACAGAGAUAUAUCCCUAGGCUUUUGACCAAUAUUGUAAUUAAAGAAAAACCAGCCAGUCAUGAUAGUGCACUCUUGUAAUCCCAGAAACAUGGGAUCCUGAGGCAGGAUGAUCACUAUUUUAAGGCAAGUCUCAAUAAUUUAAUGAGACCUUGUCUAACAAUAAUAAUAAAAGAAAGGAAUGUGGAUGUAGUUCAGGGAUAAAGUGCCCCUGGUUUCAAUCUCCAGUCCAAAAAAGAAAAACAAGAUCAGCCAUGAUACCAUAAUGGUUUUACACUCUAAAAUGCCAAGCUCUUAAUAUGAUAAAUGAUCUUAAGAAUUGGUAAUAAAAUAUAAUUAUCACAAAUUAACCACCUAAUUCUUACAUCAUUUACUACUUUAACUUUAUUUUAAUCUAUCUGGUAUUCACACAGAAUUUGUUCAGGAAGAGUUUUCAGGAAGAAUUUCUGAAAUAUUAAAAACAUUCUACUUGAAAACUCCAAAGUCUUGGUAAAAGACUCAUAUCUAACUUAAUAUAUUAUACUCAUUUUUUUCUUUCAGAUGCAUGUGUACUAUCAGAAGAAAUCGUGGAAAGAUAUCACAUAACCUUAAGAUGGAAAGAACAUCAAAAGCUUUAUUCUUCA
rnacentral:lncRNA from 1 species